CGGACGGGUGAGUGACGCGUGGGGAACCUGCCCUGUACAGGGGGAUAACACUUAGAAAUAGGUGCUAAUACCGCAUAAGCGCACAGUAUCGCAUGAUACAGUGUGAAAAACUCCGGUGGUACAGGAUGGACCCGCGUCUGAUUAGCUGGUUGGCGGGGUAACGGCCCACCAAGGCGACGAUCAGUAGCCGGCCUGAGAGGGUGAACGGCCACAUUGGGACUGAGACACGGCCCAAACUCCUACGGAAGGCAGCAG
rnacentral:rRNA from 1 species